AACAAAUUAUAUUUUUCCUAGCCUUUGACUUAGCCAAUUUAUUUUUUCAUUUCUUAUCCUUCUCUUUCAUCUUCUCCAUAUCGACUUGCAGUUUCACCAAUUGAGCCUCAACCUUCUUCAUCUUGUCCCCUUCUAUAGUGUUUUCAACCUUUAAAGUUGUCCUCGAUUUGGCAAGAUUUUCAAAGCCUUCUAAUACAUUCUCAAGUUCACCCAUUUUGUCAAGCAAUUUUGGAAUAACAAAUUUGGAUCUAGGAUCAAUUUCAAAAUCCUUCCAAACCCAAAAAUCACAAGAUCGUGGAACCUAAGAUGAAUAACAAAAGAAAAUUAAUCAAUUAUAAUUUUUCACAACUAAAUUAUUCAAAGAAGUUUUACUAUCAUUUACACCAUAGUAUGGUCAAAUCCAAUAUCUUCUUCCUGGGUUCCAAGGGAUCCAAGCUGUUAACAAAGGCAGCACUAGCCAUCGUAACAUCGAAUUUCUCCACUUGACUCGUUUUCUUCCUCUUCCGUGCAAAACCUUAUCAAAUUCGAGCCUUCUGAAGGCAUUCCAACAAAUGCAACACAAACAGACAAUAUCAAAGCCAGAUAAUUUGCAUUUGCUUUCAAAGAUCAGAUAAUUGAAUUUUCGGUGAAAGACAUAACAAUAAUAAAAGAAAGAAAUUAGGGUUCUUAAGAAGGAGAAAGAUUAAUCUUUGCUUUCAAAGAUUAAAACUUUAGAUGGUAAUUUGACAGAAUUUCGGUAGAAAUUAGAAGAAGAAGAAGAAGAAGAAGAAGAAGAAGAAGAAGAAGAAGAAAUUAGGGUUCUUCAAUUUGGUUUGGUAAAACAUUGGGGAAGAGGGAAUUUUGCCAUUGG
rnacentral:lncRNA from 1 species